CAGGAGCAGGAGCAGGAGCAGGAGCAGGAGCAGGAGCAGGAGCAGGAGCAGGAGCAGGAGCAGGAGCAGUUAGGAUGCGAGAAAGUGAUCCUACUCCUCCAUCCGUCCUUCUAAUGAAAUCAAAAGCAACAUCUGGGAAGCAAGUCAAGGCUGCUUGUUUAGCAAAGGAUUUCUACCCCAAGGAGGUUAAAAUGAACUUUGUUAAUAGCAGUCCUGUAUAUGAACAAGAUGAUCCUGUUCUCUCUCAAAAUGGGAAGUACAAUACAAUCAAAGUGGUUCAAAUCGAUGAUACUGAAGACGUGGCUUGCUCUGUUGACUAUCAAGGAAAGCAGUAUAGUGCAAAGGCGACAAAACCAGCUGCAGAGCAACCCAUGACCAUGCCAACAACAUUUUGUGCUCCUUCAAACUCCACUGCUGCAGAAGAAAACCCCGAGAAAGUGAACAUGUUGUCCAUGACUGUGCUGGCCCUAAGAGUCCUGUUCGCAAAGACCAUUGCCUUCAACACGCUCAUGACAAUCAAGCUAUUCGUUUUCUGAGAUCAGGAGAAAUGAACUUGCUGCGUUUUGAAAACAGGCAAUAUUCACAGAGGUUCCAGCAGGUGCAGGAGGUGACAUCUCCCUGCGUGUGCCAACCACAUCUUGCUCCACUAAAGGGAAGGAAGAUUCCCAGUGGAUGGACAGCUGGUGUCAGUCCAUUGGUAUCAGUGAACCUGUGCCACUCACCACCAGCUGGAGCUGCCCCCCUUCUAUUUUAUGUGCAUUUGACAUCAUGCAGUGCUUUUUCUAUUGACCUUGACUUUCACCAUUAUUUCUGUUUUGCUCUCACCUGAUUUAUCCUACCAUGCAUAUUUACUUAGAGGUCACCAUUACGUCUCUACAGAAUAGGACUAUUUAGAGGGAUUAUUCUACCCUUCUGCCCUAUUAAGCCCAAGCAUAUACAUCCCUUAUCUAGCAUUGAGAUUUUCAGCCGGCUUUUUAAGAAAAUAUAAGCACAUAAAUGCACACACAUCAGAUGUUUUAUUGUUUAGGAAGUGUAGGCAUGGUUGAAGCAUUUUAAUCAUGCCAUAUUAGAAACUUUAGGCUUCAGUCUACCUGGUCCAAAUUGAGCAGUCUCCAUUGACUUCCAUAGAGCUGUAUUGAUUCACAGCAGCUGAGCAAGUAAUGGUAAUUUUACUUUUCUUAAGAGCUAGUAGUUUAACCUUGGAGAUGUGGUUAUUUGCUUAGAUAAAGUUUAAUCUUAUGCCCAGUGUUUGUAGGAUGCUGUGCUCAUGGUUGAAAUAAAAGCUAUUG